UACAGAGGUCCCAAGCGUUGUUCGGAUUUACUGGGCGUAAAGCGCGUGUAGGCGGUUGUUCAAGUCAGGUGUGAAAGCCUUGAGCUCAACUCAAGAAAUGCACUUGAUACUGGAUGACUAGAGGACCGGAGAGGAUAGUGGAAUUCCCAGCGUAGUGGUGAAAUACGUAGAGAUUGGGAAGAACACCAGUGGCGAAGGCGGCUAUCUGGACGGUUUCUGACGCUAAGACGCGAAAGCGUGGGGAGCAAACAGG
rnacentral:rRNA from 1 species